AUAGCUAAUGUAAAUUUUGACAUGUUACAUAAUGAACUGACGUCGAUUAGAGACCGGACGUCGAUCUGAGUCUUACAUAUAGGGGUAAAUUCAGUAAAUAAAUAUACGUCAUCAGGGACCGCCCAUUUGGGGGAGAGCUUUCUGUAUAAAACUGAAGUCAUGUGCUCUUCUGAUUGGUAGAUAAUGUUUGGAAUAAAUAUUUUUUGAUAGAUGGAUAAAAACUAGAGUUGAAAAAAAAUAAAAAAUAAAUGCUGAAUGUACUAAAUUUUUUUACUACAGGGUUGAAAAGUAAUGGGGGUCAGUGAAGGAAUUAAGUGCGAAUCUACAGUGUUUGUAAACAAGGCCAUGUGAAUGCCCAAAAAUGCCGCAUGACCCUAUGUUUUUAUUGUUGCAAAUGAUAGGGCUACAUUUGUACUUUCAUGAAUGAUAUAUGAAAUUUUCUAAUUUCUAAAGGUAAAUGAGGUAUAAAUUUAAUUCAAGACAUAGAUUAGCAUUACAGUCAAUGGGAGAUUUUUUACUGAAUUUACCCCUAUAGGAAAAUAUGCAUUCUGUCACUGUACUUGUCCAAGGCCACACAAUAAUCACAAAACUUAUUUCCUGUGUAUAUUAAUGUAAUGGAAGCAUUUUGGAACCAUUUGAAGUUGUUUUUUACACAAAUUUCUAUGUUUAACUCGGCUAUCCAAGAUGCACUUAGUGUACUGUGAGAGGAAGCAUGGGGUAUAUGGUAAAAAUCAGUUUUUGUGUCCAGAUUGAAAGAAACAAUAGAAAUUACACUUGAGAGUUAUGAUAUCAAUGAAAGGCAUAAAUAUUCCCCCCAUUUUACAACACAUUUUGCACAUAUUUCUCCUCAUUAUGUGUAAAAUCAUAUGGAAAAUCAGAAUUACCUCCCUUUGACAGUGUAUUUUUUUUAUCUGUGUUUCACCAUGUUAAGUUGUAGAACAAGUUGUAAAUAAGCACUUUUCAAGUAUUUUAACACUUGAAUAAUCUGACCGCAUGAAGAUAUUCAUUUAUUUUUACAUAACGCAUUGCGUUUCUUUAUUUAAAAAAAAUUGUAGAUAACUUUUUAUGAUUACAUGCCCUUCAUCUAUGAAACUAGUGUUGAAAUGUUUGUAAUUGGAUUACUAUGUUAAAUAAUUGCUUUUAAAUAUUUUAAAUUGUUACUUUAAUCUUCCAAAUGCAAAGUUUGGUCAUACCCAGUCUUAUUUUUUCAUAUUUGGCACUUUUUUCUACUUCAGUUUUGUCUGUCUAGUUUUGGCGAAGAAACCAUCCUGAUGUUGGGGUAACAGGAAUUUCUGCAGAGUGAUUGUCAAUGACAUUUUGUGAACUUUACAAUUUUGUCUGUCUAGUUUUGGCGAAGAAACCAUCCUGAUGUUGGGGUAACAGGAAUUUCUGCAGAGUGAUUGUCAAUGACAUUUUGUGAACUUUACAAUUUUGUCUGUCUAGUUUUGGCGAAGAAACCAUCCUGAUGUUGGGGUAACAGGAAUUUCUGCAGAGUGAUUGUCAAUGACAUUUUGUGAACUUUACAA